UACGAAGGGUGCAAGCGUUACUCGGAAUUACUGGGCGUAAAGCGUGCGUAGGUGGUUGUUUAAGUCUGUUGUGAAAGCCCUGGGCUCAACCUGGGAACUGCAGUGGAAACUGGACAACUAGAGUGUGGUAGAGGGUAGCGGAAUUCCCGGUGUAGCAGUGAAAUGCGUAGAGAUCAGGAAGAACACCCGUGGCGAAGGCGGCUCUCUGGGACGGUACUGACGCUGAGACGCGAAAGCGUGGGGAGCGAACAGG
rnacentral:rRNA from 1 species